AGCUGCGUGGCGCAGUGGAAGCGCGGUAAGUUUGCAAAACCAACAGCCUGAAAAAAAUCCAUUGUACUGACAAACAACAAUAGCCGGGCUCAUAACCCGGAGGUCCUCCGAUCGAAACGGAGCGCAGCUA